rnacentral:rRNA from 1 species
UACGUAGGGUCCGAGCGUUGUCCGGAAUUAUUGGGCGUAAAGAGCUCGUAGGCGGUGUGUCGCGUCGGCCGUGAAAACCCGGAGCUCAACUCCGGGCCUGCAGUCGAUACGGGCGGACUGGAGUGUUGCAGGGGAGACUGGAAUUCCUGGUGUAGCGGUGAAAUGCGCAGAUAUCAGGAGGAACACCGGUGGCGAAGGCGGGUCUCUGGGCAACUACUGACGCUGAGGAGCGAAAGCGUGGGGAGCGAACAGG